AUUGAACGCUGGCGGCAUGCCUUACACAUGCAAGUCGAACGGCAGCACGAGAGCAAUCCUGGUGGCGAGUGGCGAACGGGUGAGUAAUAUAUCGGAACGUGCCCAGUCGUGGGGGAUAACGUAGCGAAAGCUACGCUAAUACCGCAUACGAUCUAUGGAUGAAAGCGGGGGAUCGCAAGACCUCGCGCGAUUGGAGCGGCCGAUAUCAGAUUAGGUAGUUGGUGAGGUAAAGGCUCACCAAGCCGACGAUCUGUAGCUGGUCUGAGAGGACGACCAGCCACACUGGGACUGAGACACGGCCCAGACUCCUACGGGAGGCAGCAGUGGGAAUUUUGGACAAUGGGCGCAAGCCUGAUCCAGCAAUGCCGCGUGCAGGAUGAAGGCCUUCGGGUUGUAAACUGCUUUGUACGGAACGAAACGGUGAGCUCUAAUACAGUUUGCUAAUGACGGUACCGUAAGAAUAAGCACCGGCUAACUACGUG
rnacentral:rRNA from 1 species